rnacentral:rRNA from 1 species
AUUGAACGCUGGCGGCAUGCCUUACACAUGCAAGUCGAACGGUAACAGGUCUUCGGAUGCUGACGAGUGGCGAACGGGUGAGUAAUACAUCGGAACGUGCCUAGUAGUGGGGGAUAACUACUCGAAAGAGUGGCUAAUACCGCAUGAGAUCUACGGAUGAAAGCAGGGGAUCGCAAGACCUUGUGCUACUAGAGCGGCCGAUGGCAGAUUAGGUAGUUGGGGGGAUAAAAGCUUCCCAAGCCGACGAUCUGUAGCUGGUCGGAGAGGACGAUCAGCCACGCUGGGGCUGAGACACGGCCCAGACUCCUACGGGAGGCAGCAGUGGGGAAUUUUGGACAAUGGGCGAAAGCCUGAUCCAGCAAUGCCGCGUGCAGGAUGAAGGCCUUCGGGUUGUAAACUGCUUUUGUACGGAACGAAAAGCCUUGGGUUAAUACCCUGGGGUCAUGACGGUACCGUAAGAAUAAGCACCGGCUAACUACGUGCCAGCCGCCGCCGUAA